rnacentral:misc_RNA from 1 species
GGAUGAAGAACGUAGUGAAAUGCGAUAAUUAAUGUGAAUUGCAGAAUUCAGUGAAUCAUCGAGUCUUUGAACGCACAUUGCGCCCCCUGGUAUUCCGGGGGGCAUGCCUGUCCGAGCGUCAUUGCUGCCCUCAAGCACGGCUUGUGUGUUGGGCUUCCGUCCCUGGCAACGGGGACGGGCCCAAAAGGCAGUGGCGGCACCAUGUCUGGUCCUCGAGCGUAUGGGGCUUUGUCACCCGCUCCCGUAGGUCCAGCUGGCAGCUAGCCUCGCAACCAAUCUUUUUAACCAGGUUGACCUCGGAUCAGGUAGGGAUACCCGCUGAACUUAAGCAUAUCAAUAAGCGGAGGA